rnacentral:rRNA from 1 species
AACUUUCAACAACGGAUCUCUUGGCUCUCGCAUCGAUGAAGAACGCAGCGAAAUGCGAUAAGUAAUGUGAAUUGCAGAAUUCAGUGAAUCAUCGAAUCUUUGAACGCACCUUGCGCUCCUUGGUAUUCCAAGGAGCAUGCCUGUUUGAGUGUCAUGA